CCUUGUUCCUUUUUGAUGUGAUAAAUCUAAAUACAGUAAACAUCUUUGAAACACUAUAAACAAUUUUUCAUUUUUGAAAACUCGUGAUAGACUUUACUACCUAGUCUACCUAAGUGCUCUUAGAAAUACUACCAGAAAACUCACCUUGCCUCACCUCUAACUUACACAAUAACUGAUGUAGUGUUUGAUCUCAAGGGAAAACUAUCAUGAACAUACAGGAUGAAUGUGUAUGAUUGUACCCAAUGUAUAGAGAAUCGUUGGAAGGUUGAGCAUUGAAUCAUCAAGGAAUCCUCUACAUGUCAUCGGUAUGGAAGAU